AAACUUUGAAAAUUGAAACCACUUUCCAGUCUCAGACUCUCGGUUCCUCUCCCUCACUCUGCCGCCUCAACCACUCUCCCUCACUCCCUCGCCCAACCGUCGCACGCCGCCCCAACCGCCGCACGCCGCCUUACCAGUUCGCCGUCUGCCGCCUCACCAGUUCGGCCGCCAACCGCCGGCGAAGGCGGGGACAGCAGUAGACGCCGCCUUACCAGUUCGCCGCGUCGCCGCCCCUCUUUCCCUUCUCAGGCCGCUUGCAUCCGGUCUCCAUCUCCAUCUCAGGCCGCCUGCGUCCGGUUGCUGCCAGACUCCACCGCCGCCAAUCUCCAUCUUAGGCUAGUUUCUGAUUUUGUCAAAAGUUGAUUUAAUUCUCUGAUUUUGUCUAAUUUUUUACUUCUUCUCUUUUGCAAUUCUCAAAAUUUAUUUGGGUGUUAUCUUGUUGUUAUCCUGAUUGAGAGAAAUAGUUGAUUACCUAUCUGAAUUUUGGUAGAUUAGCUCGAUUGUGUGGUUAAUAUUGAUAUAUUUUGCUCAUGCUAUGAAGACAAUUGAAAUAUUUUUCAUUAUGAAAAUUAAAUGUUGCUAAUUUUGUGAUUUAUUUUUGAAUUUAAUUUAAAAACACUAGAUCCAUGGAUCUGGACUCGCGGAUCCGUGGAUCUGACGGAUCUGGAUCUGGAUCCAAAAUUUUCAGAUCCGCGGAUCUGGAUCCGGAUCUGGAUCUGGUAUAUGAAAACGGAUCUGGAUCUGGUAUUGACCAGAUCCGGUCCAGAUCCGGCCCGUUG
rnacentral:lncRNA from 1 species